AUUGAACGCUAGCGGCAUGCCUUACACAUGCAAGUCGAACGGCAGCGGGGGAGCUUGCUCCCGCCGGCGAGUGGCGAACGGGUGAGUAAUACAUCGGAACGUACCCAGUAGCGGGGGAUAGCCCGGCGAAAGCCGGAUUAAUACCGCAUACGCCCUACGGGGGAAAGGGGGGGAUCGCAAGACCUCUCACUAUUGGAGCGGCCGAUGGCUGAUUAGCUAGUUGGUGGGGUAAAGGCCUACCAAGGCGACGAUCAGUAGCUGGGCUGAGAGGACGACCAGCCACACUGGGACUGAGACACGGCGCAGACUCCUACGGGAGGCAGCAGUGGGGAAUGUUGGACAAUGGGCGAAAGCCUGAUCCAGCAAUGCCGCGUGUGCGAAGAAGGCCUUCGGGUUGUAAAGCACUUUUGUCAGGGAAGAAAUCGUUUGGGUUAAUACCCCGAGCAGUUGACGGUACCUGAAGAAUAAGCACCGGCUAACUACGUGCCAGCCGCCGCGGUAA
rnacentral:rRNA from 1 species